CAGCCCCCCGCCCCCCGGCUCCGGUUAACAAUCAAUGGUAACUAUUAUGAUAGUGAUUACAGGAUUUAUCAACAUGAUUGUCGUCUAGGGUCCUAUUUUCUCUGUUUGGCCCCAAUUCAUUACCAUCUCUCCCCCCACCUCACCCCCACUCCCCAUCUUGCCUCAUUUUUCAAAACAAUUCCCAUGGUCUUUGAGAGGGUUCUGGUUGUUUAUGGUUUUCAGAAAUAGGCAUUCAAAGCAAAUUCCUCAUCUGCUCUCCUUGUGUUCCCCCCAAGACAGAAUGUGCGCAGACAGGAUCUCAUCCGGGGAAGGGGAGUGCAGGCAGGGCCAGGCCGGUGGACGGGGUUCCAGGGGCUGAGCUUCCUCCAGGCGGAGGGCGUGGCUUGCCUGAGACCUCAGGUGGAGGAUGUCGCACAUGCUCUGGGCCUCCUCCCUGACCCCACUGCUUUGCCGGGCCCCAGGGUUACAUCCCAGCUACGCCGCCUGCUAGCUGUACGACCUUGUGCCAGAGACUUAACCUCUCAGUUUCCUCCUCUGUAAAAUGGGGCGACCCGCCCAGCCGGUGUUGCUCAGUGGUGAGUGUCGACCUAUGAACCAGGAGGUCACGGCUUGAUUCCUGGUCAGGGCACAUGCCCAGGUUGCGGGCUCGGUCCCCAGUGUGGCAGCUGAUCGAGGAUUCUCUUUCAUCACUGAUGUUUCUAUCUCUUUCUCCCUUUCCCUUCCUCUCUGAUCCACAAAAAUGUCAAUAAAAAUAUAUUUUAAAAAAAUGAAGUGGCGUGACCCAGUUCUACCUCACAGAGCUAUGGAGAGGAUUCCAUGAACUGCUGACCAGCCGGGUGCCUGCUGCUCCCGGAGAUCAGCACGAGAGGGACAGUGUCACGUCCGCCUCUUUUCCUUUGAGAAACCUGGAAUCCGAGGCUGCCAGCUGCCAGUCACCCUCCAAAAGGGCCGUCCCCUUUCUAACACCCCAGCCCCGGUCAGGUUCAGUUCCUCGGCAUUCCGGUCUGACCGGAACCUGGAGUCUUGGUUCCGGCUGCAUCUGUUCGAGGCUGAGUGCCUUUUCACUUGUCUCUGGCUUCCUCAUCCUUCUUCUGCCUCGGGUCAUUGCCCAUUUCCCUGCGCGGCGGUUCCCCCAGGUGUGUGCAGGAAAUGCACGCUCCUGCCCAGAAACGCAAUGCCGAGAGCAAACCAUUUUACAAGCAGGAAUUUGGG